rnacentral:rRNA from 1 species
GAUGAACGCUGGCGGCGUGCCUAAUACAUGCAAGUCGAGCGAACAGAUGAGGAGCUUGCUCCUCUGACGUUAGCGGCGGACGGGUGAGUAACACGUGGAUAACCUACCUAUAAGACUGGGAUAACUUCGGGAAACCGGAGCUAAUACCGGAUAAUAUAUUGAACCGCAUGGUUCAAUAGUGAAAGACGGUUUUGCUGUCACUUAUAGAUGGAUCCGCGCCGCAUUAGCUAGUUGGUAAGGUAACGGCUUACCAAGGCAACGAUGCGUAGCCGACGUGAGAGGGUGAUAGGCCACACUGGAACUUAGACACGGUCCAGACUCCUACGGGAGGCAGCAGUAGGGAAUCUUCCGCAAUGGGCGAAAGCCUGACGGAGCAGCGCCGCGUGAGUGAUGAAGGUCUUCGGAUCGUAAAACUCUGUUAUUAGUGAAGAACAAAUGUGUAAGUAACUGUGCACGGCUUGACGGUACCUAAUCAGAAAGCCACGGCUAACUACGUG